GUAAUCGCUCUCCCCACGGAGCCCUUUGGAUCCUAGAGGAGACGGGGAUUAGCUCAUUUAGCACAUUUGAUUUGGUUAAGACGACCACCUGUUCGCCCGACGGAAUGCUAAUAUGUUACCGUGACAACAGCCAGGGAUAAAACUGUCUGGAGCGCGCGCUGGUCCUCCACCUUGGAAAUAUAUACCUACCAACCUGCCCGUGUGUUCUCCCCCCAGCUCGCCUUCUCCGGUCUCUUCGUUAGCAUGAUUCCACUAAGUGAAGCCAUCUUCCUCCUCUGAGGUCCUCCUCCUCCUCCUCGUCCUCUGCUGUCUUCCCUCUCCCUCCCCUGCCCGCCGCUGAACAACGCCCGCAUCGCCAUAUUCAACUUCUCAAAGUUUCUGGGCUCACAGACCCCAGUCGAACCCGGGCAGAUCCACCAGGCAACAACACACGGAACCAGCAGAACAGAUCAAUAAAUCAGGACAAACCUCACGUGGACACACAACUGACCUGGAUGGAGAGCAGCGUUAGAGAUGAGACGGGAGACGAUACGGAAGAAAAGACUCACAACCCCCACAGCCAGCGCACACUCCCUAACGUUGAUGCAUCCAAACCCCUUCCUUCAACUGUGUGCGUGUUUGUUGGGGGAGGGGGGAGGAGAUAGAGAGGGAGAGAUAUAUCUGUACACAGAGCCUAAGGCCCAUGUGCUCAGCUCUCUGGAUGAAGACAUGCUCCAUUGGAAAUGAACGGAUGUUCUGAAAACGACCAAGCAGCCAAUGAAAUACGAGGGAGUAGUGGAACUUUAACCAGACCGCAGAGAAGUCCCUCAGAGGUGUCCUCCGGAGCCUGGCUGGCGGCUGCGUGGCAGACAGAACCGGCCCAGCAGGCUGAGCGGCGGCGUCGUGGUCCGGGGAGCGGAGGGGAAGGAGUCCGCCCCCCCCCUGCUGUGAAUGUACCAGGGGCCAGUCGGCGCCCGCCCGCCUCUGGACGACCGGGCUUCGUCUCAGGCCGAGCGUGACCAUUAUUCACCCCCCCCACCCC
ensembl:lncRNA